UACGUAGGGUGCAAGCGUUGUCCGGAAUUAUUGGGCGUAAAGAGCGUGUAGGCGGCCCGAUUAGUCCGCUGUGAAAGUCCAGGGCUCAACCCUGGAAUGCCGGUGGAUACUGUCGGGCUAGAGUCCGGAAGGGGCGAGUGGAAUUCCUGGUGUAGCGGUGAAAUGCGCAGAUAUCAGGAGGAACACCAAUGGCGAAGGCAGCUCGCUGGGUCGAGACUGACGCUGAGGCGCGAAAGCGUGGGGAGCAAACAG
rnacentral:rRNA from 1 species